CAAUUGGUUAACAUAUCCUCAAAUCUAAAAAAAAAUAUGUGAUGGUUGAGGUUAGCCUCAUAAAGCUAAAAAAUACUUUUGUAUGUAUUUUAGCACUGAGUGGCUAUUUCCACUUAAGAGUAAGUCACCAAAGAGAUAAAUACUUGGAGACUUAUUUUUGCACGUUUCAUAAAAUGGUAAUUUUAUUUUUGAUUGAUUUGGACAAUAUUGGUGCUAUGAGAAAAGAGACUCAUUAUAAUAUUUAUUUUUAUUCUUCCUUUUAUUUAUUUGACAUAUCUUAUUGGUUCUAAAUAUUUGCCUUGCCUGGCCACCUGGAAUUAAAUUAAUGAGCAGCUCAAAAUCAAAAUUUUCAUAAGAAACUGAGGGUAUUUCAUUUGUUUGGUUGCUUUUCUUUUCUAUUUCUGUUUAGCCUUUGGAAAAGCUACAAAAUAGUCACAAUUGCAUAGUUACACAAUUUUAGUGUUACAGAAAUAUAUACAUUUAAAAUUGGAACACUAUGGAAGGUUAAUGAGAGAAUUCAAGGUAAAUGGUCAUAAAAACUGAUUAGCUGCCAAUCCCCUUUAAAUUUUAAAUCAAAUUUCAAAAUCAUUUAGUUGUUAUGAUACAUGAUAAUAACUUCAAUAUUAUAAUAUAUUCAUGGAAAGUAAAGGAACUAAUUUGAUAUUAGUCUUCUGCUUGCCUGAUCCAGUUUAAUAAUAACAAUAACAAAAGAUACACAGACUUGUUUCUGUUACAUAUUUUGUUUUGGGUUCUUUCCUC
rnacentral:lncRNA from 1 species